ensembl:lncRNA
AGCUAGUUGUUUUGGUAGCGGCUAAAUUAGCAUGUCGCGAUACUUUGUACAGGGGAUCACGUCUGCGCCGAGCAGAUGCGCAGAGGGUUGAAACAGCGCUUGUCCGAUCUGCUCACAAGAAGGUUUCUUUGGCCAGUUACUGUGAUUAAACACGAGUUCUUUAAUGUUCACAAUGUAUCGUUUUUCAUGGGGAAAAUGAGAUGCGUCCCCGGGACGCAUGGAUAGGAUGCUGGGAUGAUGAUCCUCGUGCCUCUGAGGACGAUGUCGUUGCUGGGCAGCAUGCUCAGCUCUUCGCUGACUCGGAUGAAUUUCUUCAGAGUAGCAGCAUGCUGUGUGUUGUCGGUGAUCCUGUGCCACGUGUUGUGUCUGAUAUUCUCCUGUUGGUGUCUUGAUGGGGUGACGUGACAUGUAGUCGGCGGGGUUCUCUGCGCCUUUCCGGUACUCCACGCGAAAGUUGUAGGGCUGGAGUCUCAGUCCCCAUCUCUCGAUUCUCGCCGGUGGUUUUGAUUUGGGGUUAUUCCAGAUCACUUCAAGGGCUUUGUGGUCUGUGACCAAGGUGAAGGGGUUUCCGUAGAUAUAUAGGUGGAAAUGUUCACAACCAGGGGCGGAGUGGGACACUAAUAG